UUUAAUGUAAAUAAACAGAAACAAGUGACCUAACAAAGAGCCACUUUGAUCAUAAAUCCAGCCAAUAAUACACAAGUAUCUACGGCAACGGGACACCAGCUACCAACCAGAUCCACUGGUUUCCAUCUGGAUCUGAAGUCACACAGGAAACAAAAUAAAUACAUAUCUUUGCUCGAACUUUAAAUUAAGAUUCUGACUCGACCGUCAAACUAACUUCCCUGUUUUCCGGAUGUUUUUGUAA